rnacentral:rRNA from 1 species
ACGGAAGGCAGCAGUGGGGAAUAUUGGUCAAUGGGCGCGAGCCUGAACUAGCCAAGUAGCGUGAGGGAUGACUGCCCUACGGGUUGUAAACCUCUUUUGUUUGGGAAUAAAGGAGCCUACGUGUAGGCUUUUGCAUGUACCUUUCGAAUAAGCAUCGGCUAAUUCCGUGCCAGCAGCCGCGGUAAUACGGAAGAUGCGAGCGUUAUCCGGAUUUAUUGGGUUUAAAGGGAGCGUAGGCGGCCUUUUAAGUCUGCGGUCAAAUGUCAGGGCCCAACCUUGGCAUGCCGUGGAUACUGAUGGGCUUGAAUACACGCAAGGCAAGUGGAAUUCGUCGUGUAGCGGUGAAAUGCUUAGAUAUGACGAAGAACUCCGAUUGCGAAGGCAGCUUACUGGAGUGCGAUUGACGCUGAGGCUCGAAAGUGCGGGAAUCAAACAGGAUUAGAUACCCUGGUA